CCUACGGGAGGCAGCAGUGAGGAAUAUUGGUCAAUGGGCGGGAGCCUGAACCAGCCAAGCCGCGUGAGGGAAGAAGGUACAGCGUAUCGUAAACCUCUUUUGUCAGGGAACAAAGGCGGGGACUAGUCCCCGGAUGAGGGUACCUGAAGAAAAAGCAUCGGCUAACUCCGUGCCAGCAGCCGCGGUAAUACGGAGGAUGCGAGCGUUAUCCGGAUUUAUUGGGUUUAAAGGGAGCGUAGGUGGAUUGUUAAGUCAGUUGUUAAAGUUUGCGGCUCAACCGUAAAAUUGCAGUUGAAACUGGCAGUCUUGAGUACAGUAGAGGUGGGCGAAAUUCGUGGUGUAGCGGUGAAAUGCUUAGAUAUCACGAAGAACUCCGAUUGCGAAGGCAGUUCACUGGACUGCAACUGACACUGAGGCUCGAAAGUGUGGGUAUCAAACAGGAUUAGAUACCCGGGUAGUC
rnacentral:rRNA from 1 species